AAUGUUUAAAGUUAAAGUUUAUUUGUAUUCUUCAUAGGAAUAUCAAUAAAAGACCUCAAACGUAUCUAUAUCUGUACAUGUACAAGAACUGUCAAAAAUUAUUCACAGAACAAAAAUAAAUCUUCUUUUAGAACAAACCCAGGUAAUGAAAUGCUGAUAUGGAUCUCACAUAUGGAACAAUCUAAGUGCUACUAGCACAAAAAUAUGGCUUUAAAAAUAAAAUAAAAUCUUGGGUUUUGUUUCUCUAACGUGUAUUUCUUUCUUGUCUAAGCACCAGUCAAAAUUUAACCUUUACUAUUUCAAAUUUUCUGCAGGAUAGUGGUUAAAUCAACUAGUAUUUAACCUUUUGGUGAGCUGGGAAUUGAAAUUUUCCCUUGGGAGUGUAGAAAUGACAUAAAAAUGAUAUUU
rnacentral:lncRNA from 1 species